rnacentral:rRNA from 1 species
AUUGAACGCUGGCGGAAUGCUUUACACAUGCAAGUCGAACGGCAGCACGGGUGCUUGCACCUGGUGGCGAGUGGCGAACGGGUGAGUAAUAUAUCGGAACGUAUCCAAUAAUGGGGGAUAACUAAUCGAAAGGUUGGCUAAUACCGCAUACGCCCUACGGGGGAAAGCUAGGGACCUUCGGGCCUGGCGUUAAUGGAGCGGCCGAUAUCUGAUUAGCUAGUUGGUGGGGUAAUGGCCUACCAAGGCGACGAUCAGUAGCUGGUCUGAGAGGACGACCAGCCACACUGGAACUGAGACACGGUCCAGACUCCUACGGGAGGCAGCAGUGGGGAAUUUUGGACAAUGGGCGCAAGCCUGAUCCAGCCAUUCCGCGUGAGUGAAGAAGGCCAUCGGGUUGUAAAGCUCUUUCGCAAGGGAAGAAAACUUAUCCUCUAACAUAGGAUGAGGUUGACGGUACCUUGAUAAGAAGCACCGGCUAACUACGUGCCAGCAGCCGCUGUAACAC